GUGUCAGCCGCCGCGGUAAUACGGAGGAGGCAAGCGUUAUCCGGAAUUAUUGGGCGUAAAGCGUCCGCAGGUGGCGAUUCAAGUCUGCGGUCAAAGACUGGGGCUUAACCCUGGAAAGGCCGUGGAAACUGAAGAGCUAGAGUGCAGUAGGGGUAGAGGGAAUUCCCGGUGUAGCGGUGAAAUGCGUAGAGCUCGGGAAGAACAUCGGUGGCGAAAGCGCUCUGCUGGACUGCAACUGACACUCAGGGACGAAAGCUAGGGGAGCGAAUGGGAUUAGAUACCCCAGUAGUCCUAGCCGUAAACGAUGGAUACUAGGUGUGGCUUGUAUCGACCCGAGCCGUGCCGUAGCUAACGCGUUAAGUAUCCCGCCUGGGGAGUACGCACGCAAGUGUGAA
rnacentral:rRNA from 1 species